GCCAGGCAUUUAAAAAAAAUCUUAAAAAAAAAAAAAAUUGCAGACGGGAAAAAGUUAAUGCUCUCCUCCACCGCGCUACCGUACGGCCAUUCCAAAUAUAAUUCCUUUUAUCCAAAUAUGGAAUGACUUUGAGGGCAAAUUUUUAAGAAAGAGGUGAUAUAAUUAAUAGCUCUGACGAUGUUGAGGCUGGUGCUGAUAACGAGAUGGAGGAGAAGGAUGAGAAUGAAGAUGGCGACAACGAUGACGACGACGGCGACGUCGACUAUUACUACUACUACUACUACUACUACUACUACAUAACGACGAUUAUGAUGCCGAUGACGACGAUGAUGAUGAAGAGCAGGCUGAGUAUGACGAUGAUGAUGAUGAUGAUGAUGAUGAUGAUGGUUGUGGUUACUAUUUAUGAUAAUACUUUCAUGCCAUCUUCGAUGGAAAACUCUUUAAAUAUCGGCAGCAGUUUCACUCUAUAGUCACAUAAUUUAAACUGUUUACAAUACAUACAUACGUAUAUACAUACAUACGUAUAUACAUACAUAC